rnacentral:rRNA from 1 species
UACAGAGGGUGCGAGCGUUGUUCGGAAUCACUGGGCGUAAAGCGCGCGCAGGCGGGCGUGUAAGUCAGACGUGAAAUUCCGGGGCUCAACCCCGGAGCUGCUCCUGAUACUGCAGGUCUGGAGACCGGUAGAGGCUGGUGGAAUUCCCGGUGUAGCGGUGGAAUGCGUAGAGAUCGGGAAGAACACCCGUGGCGAAGGCGGCCAGCUGGGUCGGUUCUGACGCUGAGGCGCGAAAGCGUGGGGAGCAAACAGG